GGGAAGGCUCUAGCUGGCUGGAAUAAGCAAGGAGACUGUGAAACAGCAGCAGAAGCAAAGACUGAGAACAACAAAUGUUGCCAAGGUUGAUGUUCACCCUCAACUGCUGUUUGCAGGGCUUCAGCUGAAAUGAAGAUGUAGUACUUAACAAAAGAACAGAGGAAAGGAACAUCACUCAAGGUGGAAGUAUUCCAGAAAUAAAUUUCUGUUCAGGCACGUCCCUUGGUGCAACACUGGAUGAGAAUCUCAUAUUUUGUGUUCGUUUUGUAUGGAUGAAUCCAGAUGUGUAGGCCUAUCCAGGCACAUCAUUCAGGAAACUACUGUAUUGCAAAUUUUUGGAAACCAAAUGCCACAGAAAGAUACAUGCUUGCAGUCCCCAGUUUUGAUCGGCUACUUUAGAAGAACGUCCUGGCAUUUGGAUGUCUCCAUCAGUCCAACUGAUUCAAGCCUUUAAAAACAGGCCACCUGACCAAACUAUGAAGACAAGCUAAUUCAGGAUAGCUGGAAUUGGGCCCAGGAGCAACCUUAAGAGACUAAUCUUACACUUUGAUGAAUUCAUUGCUUAGCAUUUGUACUUUUUAUGGCUUAUUUAAUCAGAAACAAUAACAGAGAACACCAAUGGGUUGGGCUGUGAAAAACAGGCUUUAAGAUUAAACCAAAAAGCAGAUGAUCAGGAGGGGUUUUAAAAAUGCUUGUCAAAAGCAUAUGCAAAUGUUAAGAUUCCAUUAUCACCUAAGGAAGCCAAAUAGGCACCAUUACUGUAAGUAUAAAGCAUUUGUUCCAAAUGGAAUUUUGCAACCAUGCCAGCAAUCCUAAUGAUUAUGGAGCAGCCAUUAGAUUUAUACUGCACAAUGCAAGUAAGAAAAAUUUUACUGUCCUGAAAAUAUAGCUAACCAGUUAUGUCUCUUGUACCCUACUUACUUGAGUAACUUAAAGUCAGCUUCCAGAUGGUUCUCUUUGUUAAACAGAUUGCAGCUCUUGAUUGCUUUCUCUGUCUGAGGUCCCUCUAUCUUAAGCUCUGAAUGCUCAUGAGGUUCUUAGUGCCAUGCAUUCAUAUGGUAAACAGAAGAAAAUUGAAAAGUUGAUGAUGUGUGCUGUGAAGCUGUAGGAUGUCUUGUCUUCUCAACAUGUACACACAAGUUUUCAGCAUCUUGCUUUUUCUAUACAAUUACUGGAAUGUCCUAGGAUGGGUAACUGUUGCCUUGUGGCUGGGCUCUCUGUGAGACAAAGAACUCUAAAGACAGAUAUGCCGCCAAAAGUGUAAAAGAAGCAGU